UCACUUCACAUUCAGGCGCGAUCCUCUAUAUGGGCACCUGCCGGACAUGUGCCGGCUAUGACGAUAAACUGCGCCGUACAAUAGACGCAGCGGACCCGGGGGCGGUACCCGGCGGCUCCACCACCAUCACCGCGCUCCACGACAGGGAGGCGGCGGUGUUGAUGACGGGGCCGAACUAGGAUCGACGUGUGUUGAAAAGCGGUGUUUUCGUCCGGGCUGAGUAACCCGUUAAAGGCUCAAAACUCAUAAGUGCCAACGACAACGAAGCACUUGCUCUCGCCGCGUAAUUCUAGGGCCUAGCGGCCUGAAGUUACAAAGCUAGAACGCGGUUGGACCCACCGGUCAACAGAAGCGGAUUCC
rnacentral:tmRNA from 1 species